rnacentral:rRNA from 1 species
AGCCGCCGCGGUAACACCGGCGGCUCGAGUGGUAACCGUUAUUAUUGGGUCUAAAGGGUCUGUAGCCGGCCGGAUAAGUCUCUUGAGAAAUCUGGCAGCUUAACUGUCAGGCUUUCAGGAGAUACUGUCUGGCUCGAGGCCGGGAGAGGUGAGAGGUACUUCAGGGGUAGGGGUGAAAUCUUGUAAUCCUUGAAGGACCACCAGUGGCGAAGGCGUCUCACCAGAACGGACCUGACGGCAAGGGACGAAAGCUAGGGGCACGAACCGGAUUAGAUACCCGGGUAGUCCUAGCCGUAAACGAUACUCGCUAGGUGUCGGCCACGGUGCGACCGUUGUCGGUGCCGUAGGGAAGCCGUGAAGCGAGCCACCUGGGACGUACGGCC